GCCUGCCAAUUAUGAAUAGUACCAGCUGGGCUGUAAGGAGAGCAGGCUAAGAAGGACACACAGAAGAAGAAAAUAUUGAUAUGAAAAUAAAGAGCAAGAGAUAAGUUCAGAGUGGGGGCACAUUUGAUGAGAAUCCCAUGUCUGGUGUUAAUGUCUCAUUACAGUUUUAUCCUCAACAUACUGCAAGAAGAAAAAAAAAGAAAAGAAAAGAAAAAAGGAAGAAUUAGAAAAAAAAAAUGGGAUGUGGUUUUAGAGCACAUAUAGCUUUCACAUGACUGGGAAAGGCUGCUGACCCACACCUGCCCUUCUGGCCUUGUGGAUAUAUUUGCAGAGCUAAAGUACGGAGGCUUGGAGGGAGUGUGAAGUUUAUUUCAGCUCACUACCAUUUCUGGGUAAACCUGCCCUCAAAUCAGGCUGGAAGUAAAUCUUGCCAAGCUCCAGCCAAAGGAUGAGAAUGAAAUGUCCACAUCUACUUCAGUUUCUACUCACCAGGGCACAAAGACCCUGUGAGUGCCCAGGAAGAAAAAGGUGGUGGAACAGAGGAAGAGCUUCCUACUUCCUUUCACCCUCCUGUUUCUACUCUGGUUCCCAGAUCUGCCUGAAGGAGCAGCCUGCAGAAUGGAUCUGCAGUCCCAUUAAGGUCUGCAUGUGUUUCCAUCAGUCCUGCCUUGCUGCACAAGAAUGGCACCAAGGCUUUCCUUCAAUGCCAAUGGCUGCAAGGGGAGGAGGACAGUUCUCCACCCUGCUCCCACAGCCUUCGUCAGUCCCCAAGAAUAUCUACAAGGGAAGAAAACAAAUCUCAACCAAAUCAAUCACCGUUCUGCUGAUACUACCCCAGACUGAAAUUCAUUUGGAGAUCUGGAUACAGAGCAAUGACUCUGACUUGCAUCCAAUAAAAUUUGGCCAUAAAAGGAGUGGUCUUGCUUCUUCCCCUCAGUGACAAAAGGAGACACAGGUACGUAGUCCGGCAUAGAGCUGAAGUAGUUGAAAGAAGCUGACUUAGCAAGCUGGUCCAACUUCCUAAGGAAACUGGUUUAUACAAAUGCAUCAAAGCAC
rnacentral:lncRNA from 1 species